GAGUGUGGCACCGCCUGACGGUCUGGCGUCACAAUCUGCUGGCAGUCCAGUAUCUUCCCCAUCAGAAGCUGAGAUGUUUCUUGGGGCAGAAUGCUGGACCAGCACAGUGGCCUGACUGCAAUAGGUAUGUCGAGUGUCUCAUCUCAAAGCUGUGCGAGGACUGCCCAUCGUCUGUGCGCAAGAACGGGGCCACCAUUCAGCGCUGAACUCUCAUCAGCCGUGCCUACAGAAAUAUCAGGCAGAAAGUCCUCAACAAUGCCAGGGUUAUGCAGGGCACCACCAUACAGCUGGUUGAAAUAAACCGCACCACCCUCACCCAAUAGCACAACAAAAAGGCUAAGAGGCAAGAGAAACAGAUCCUGGAGCAAGGCAUCACACUGGCGCCGCCUGCACCCUGCACGUCUUUUCCUCUCCCUCCUCCUGUGCAGAAACUGACCGCCAUGCUUGUCCCUCCACAGCAGCGUCUAUUCGUGUUCUCCCUUCCAAUCAACACUAGUGGCCAAGCCAGCCUCCUGUCACCCUUCUUCUCCUGUCUGGAGAACUUGCACA